AAGAGGGAACAAUCCAGGAACCACAACUUCAGGCUCUGAAAGAGGAAGCGUGAGCAUACCCUGGUGGACAUGGUAGUAUAUGUUGUUGACCGUACAAGACUGAGUGAAAAACACAGCCCCCACAAGCCCAAACUUCUUGGCAACAUCAAGAGCCCAAGGCAAGAAUGCAUCAUACACAACACAAUCAACUGGACACCCUGAGCUUUUGAGCUUCUCAAUGAGGCUGCCCAGGGUUUCUGAGCCAACCACCCGAAACCGCUCCAUGUAGGCGCCACCACUUUCCGCUUGGGCGAAGCCACCUUCAUCAUAUCCAUCAGAGAUGGUCUCAAUGGUGAUGGGACCGGAGUCUCCGAGCAAGGACUUGGAGAUAAAGCAUGUAGGAACCAGUGUGACUUUGGCCCCAUUGUGUACCAAACGCUUGGAGAAUUGGAGCAUAGGGUUUAUGUGGCCUUGGCUUGGAUAUGGGAGGACUAUGCAGUGAGAUUUGUGGGUUCUCUUCUCCUUCUCCAUAUUCCUUCAAAUCUUCACACACUCUUGAGCUCUUGCUCUCUUCUUGUUUUACUUAUAAAUGGAAAAUCAUCCCUCCAACCAUGGGUUUUUUUUUUUUUUGGUUUUCCUAAUCAAAGAAUUGAAUCUCAUUUUCUACUUAAAAGAGCUCAAAAUGCAAGGUCAAAGAUAAGCAUACAAUAGAAUGAGAUCCAAACUUGAGUAAUUAUUAAUUUAUAUAUAUAUAUAUAUAUAUAUAUAUAUAUAUAUAUAACUUUUCCAUAAAAUGCAACAUUUAGUAUAUUAAUUUUAUAUUCCAGCUAUAUAUUUAAAGUGUUCCUUUUCAAUACAAACACUACCCUAUGACAUCUGACAACUUGUUUGACAAGAAAGUUAAAAGUAUGCCAUCUUCUUUGUUAAAUAAAUAUGGAGAUGGUGAAACUAAAAAAGGGUUGUGACUUGUGAGGGGGUCUUGUGGCUAUCAGUGUUAGAGUUAUUUAUUUAGUAAUAUCAAGUAGCUUUAUUUAGUUACUAUUUAGUUUUGUUUAGUUACUAUUUUUCUUUCUUAUUUAAUUACUAUAUUAGAAUUAUUCUCUUUCUUUUUUAGGUUUUAUUAGGUCUAUUUAAAUCCUAAUAGAGUUGUAUCUUUUUUUUUUUCAAGAGAAUUCAUAAUGAGAAAUCCUAGAUUUUCUUUUCUCUCUCUCUUUUUUUUUUUUUUUUAAUCUUUUUUUGAAUUUCAACAACUAGUUAUUGAAUGUUUGCUAAUUUGUUACCAAUUUUAUUAAUUAACAAGUUUGGAGUAUAUGGGUAGGCUGUAGGCAUGACAUGUGAUUGUUGUCAUCAAUGAUGUGUGUAGAGAAGUGGACAUGUGAGGGUGAGAUUGUUCAUAGCUUCUAUCCUCCAAGAUGUCCAACCUAUGUAUGCAUACUAUUUUGAGAGGGAUAUUCUUUCCCCCUAAGAUAAGAAUAUACAUAUUUUUUAGUUGUUUGCAUUUAUAUACCUUCUUUUUUCUUUUACUUUUUCUUUAUAUAAUUUGUACAUGAAUUGUUGGACGUCAUUUGUUGUACCUCGGAGGGCUUUUUUGACUCUAUGCUAGUCAGGGGCAUCACAGAGUGACCUCCCUAGGAUUCGAACUUGGGUCCUUAGAUCUUUGUGUGGCCCUCUUGGUACCAUCUUGGCUACAUGAAUGACUAGCUAGUACUUUGGUUUAAUAUUUUGUCCUUUUGCAAGUUGAGCAUAGACUGCAAAACUAUUGUUAGAUCAAGGGUAUGAUUUGGGAGUUUUGGGGAGUGAUUAUAUGAGGUUGGGAAUAUUUUCUAAUAUUCCAAAAAGUUUUUUAUUGAAGGAAGUUCAGAGUUAAUUCCAAAUUUUCCAUUAAUGUAUUAUAUUUGGAAUCUACAAAUAAUAUUUGGUUCUCUCCACAUGAAUAUAUUUAGGCUUAUUAUUUAUGUUAUUUUUGGUCAAUUUUUAUCAUGAAAAUACUCGGGAAGACAUUGAGGAUGAAUUUGGAGAUGAAUGGAGGAUGAAAACUCGAAAAAGGGUGGGGGCAAAGGGGGAGGAGAUUGAUGGCAUUGUUCAAAACCCCGACAACCCAUAGGCGAUAGAGCAUCGACUCCUUGGGGGACCAUCAACACUAUUUAGACCUCAAAUGAUAAACCUCAACAAUCUAUCCUACAAUAGAGUAUUGGCUAAAAGAUAGUUGUCUAGCUCCUUGGCAUUGCACACCUUGGAGCCAUCCAAAUCCUUGGUAUCGAACGUCUUAUAGUCAUCUAUCUCCUUAAAGCUGCGUCCCUUGGAGUUGUAAGAAAUAGGUGAGUGUGUAUUAAGUUGUAAGGGCACUUUAGGCUUUGUAUUAGGGGUAUUUUGGUCCUUAAAAAGAGCAUGGCUGAGAUGGUGGAGCAUAUAAAUAAAAACAAGUAAAUGUUAGCUGAGUAUACUCUCCAAAUCCAUCAUCAAUACACAAAAAGCGCGGCAAGGCCAUGUAUUUCAGGAAUCGAAUUGAACACCAGUAAGUUUCUAUAAAUCCAAAAUUAAACCAUAAUUUUUCGACAUCACACAGAUCAUAAAAACGAAUAAAAAUCCGAAAUUCAGAAGCAGAUCGAGAAACCAUCCCCCAAAAACAUCGCAGACCAAAUCAAACCAAGCCAAUUUGCACAAAGAAGAGCACAAAGUCGAGAACCAAAAAUCAUCAAAUCAUUCCAGUAAAUAAAACACACAAAAUCAGAGCCAGACUGCGAAUCGAAAUCAACACGUGCACGGAUUACCAAAAAAAUACCGAAAUAAACAAAUACAAAAUUGGGGAUCUUGGAGAAGCGGGUAGGAUCGAGAGAUGCAGAGAAGAAAUCAGGGUUUGAAGAGUGAGGUUAGGGACUUACAGUGGGGGAUCCAGAAGCGGAUGAUGAAACAUGAGGUUGUUGAGGAAAAAAGCUAGGAGACAUAGAGAGAGAAAACCAUAAAUACAAUUUUUCAUCAUAAAAUAUAAAAUUCAUUCAAAUAUAAUAAAAAAUUAUCGAUUUUCCAUAAAUAAAAAUUUGUGCCAAAAUAUUAUAAAAACCAUUUAUCAUAAAUAAAUAUUAUGAUUAAAUAUGACUUUUAACUAUGAAAAUAGAACUUAUGUCAAAAUUUUAUGAAAAUAAAUUUGCCCGAAAAUAUGAUGUGGUUAAUUAUGAUUUUUUACUGUGAAUAUAAACUUCAUCUAUAAAGUAAUCUUAUUGCCAUAAAAAAUAAAAAUCAUUGCAAAAUCAUUACAACAAAAUAUGAAAUUUGUUGUAGUUAAUGCAAAGUUGAGAAAAAUUGAAAAUAUGAUGUUUUUUCAUAGAUGGAAGGAUACUUAUUGACAAACCAUUUUUCCAUGACUUGCAAAGUUGUUUCUAAGGAUCUUUAUUAAUGUCGUAGAAUAUCACUAGGAAAAUUUAGUGUGAAACUUACCAAACAACUAGUUUGGCAACAAAUUCAUCAAUGCAUUUAUCUAAACUUCCACUUUCAUCAACUGCUUUUGUGGCCAAAUUCUUCAAUUUCAUAGCAUUGUUUUCAAUCUCUUUUAAUCUAUUACUUCUUAUCACUUGCCCUAUGCAAUGCUCCACGACUCUUCUUCUCACAAUCCCUUUGUUAUCGGCUUGAACCCUUAAUCCUAUCCCCCAAACAUCUUCAACAAACUCGGUGUUGGUGGGUUGAUUAGUCCAUAGAGGGGCAACCACCAUUGGAACUCCCAAGUUGAGUGCCUCCAACUUGGAGUUCUAACUGCCAUGGGUGAGGAAGCAUUCUAUUGCCCUGUGGACUAAAACAUCCAGUCAAGGACAACAUGACACCACAAACCCUUUUCCGCUAUCUCCUCUUUGAACUUUUGAGGCAAUUUGGUCUACUCAGAUUCCCUAACCACCAUCAAGAAGUAGGCAUUACUCCUCCUUAAACUCUAAGCUACUUCCUCCAUUUGCUUGGGUUCUAGCCUCACGAAGGUCCCAUAUGAGGCGUAAACAAUGGAUCCAUUGGGCUUGUUGUCUAGCCAUUCCAUGCAAGCACUUGUGACUAACUUGAGCAUGAUAAGGCUAUAGUCUUUGUCAUCUCCAAGUCGUUUAUUUAAGUAAGUAGAGAGAAUGAUUGGGUUGAUCGUCUUGAGCAGACAAAUCUUCGCCAUCCAAUCCACCACCUAGGAAUUCAAUGACAAACUUAGAUCAAUAAAAUAGUAUCAAAUGCUUAAUUUGACCCAAAAGAUUAAGAAUCCAUUUUAUAGUGAUUUUAUGAAGUGUUUGUAAAUUUUUUAGAUUUUUUAUCAAAAGAUUACUCGAGUGUUGUUGCAAAUGAAUGUAGCUAUUGUAAGCAAAAAGGUCACUUAAAAGGCUCAAUGUUUGAUGAUCCCCCUAGAACAAUACAACACUAGUCUUCUCAACAGUCUCAGUAGAGUCAGUUUAAUACUAGCCAAUAAUGUUUUUACAAGCUACCAUAGUUUAAUACCACAAUAGUUGUUCCUCCAUCUGACUUGUUUGGAUUUGGAUCCACAUUAUCCUCUAAUCCCAUUGUAGUUUCUGUUGUUGAACAAUUCCAGAAACUUCUCACCACUCAACCACAUUUUAUGUCUAUCUCUUCAGGUUUGCCAACCACUAGUUCUUUAGGUAUGUCUUCUUCCAUAUGGGUCUUAGACUCCAUAGCUUCUCAUCAUAUGUCUCCUAAUUCCUUAUCUUUUGUUUAUUUAUCUCCUAUAUCUUUUAUGUCUAUCAUGAUUGUUGAUGACACUCUUUUACCCUUAGCCAGUAUUGAUUUUGUUAUCAUACCUCAUUUGUCUAUUCCUCAUGUCUAUCAUAUUCCUAAUCUUACAUGGAAUCUUGUCUUUAUUGGUCAAUUAUGUGACUCUAGUUACUUAGUUUCUUUUUCUUCUACUUCUUGUUUUGUUCAAGAUCCUUAAUCCUAGAAGUUGAUUGGGACAGGUUGUAGGCAAAGGGGAUUGUAUAUUCUAAAUGAGCUAAAAGUCUUAAUAGUUGUAGCUCCUAGUCUUGAUUUGUCUUCUUUUCAUUUGAGUCAUUUUUCAUCUAGUUUUUAUUUUUGGCAUUCUCAUUUAAGACAUGUUUCGACUUCUCGUUUAAAGUAUUUAGUUUCUACAGGAGCAUUAGGAAAUUUGUAAACACAAGAUAUUUCUAAUUGUAAUGGAUGUAAACCGACAAAAUUUUCCGCCUUACCUUUUAAUAGAAGUGUUUCCUCUUCUUUCAUCUAAUUUGAUUUAGUUCAUUCAGAUGUGUGGGGACAUUCUCCAAUUUCUAAAAAAGAAGGGUCUCGAUAUUAUAUUUCCUUUAUUGAUGAUUAUAUUGAUUAUUGUUGGGUUCAUCUUACGAAAUACCACUAUAAUUUUCGGAAUAUUUAUAAUGCAUUUCAAGUUUAUGUCAAAACUCAACAUUCUAUUGUUAUCGAGUGCUUUAGGUGUGAUUUGGAUGGGGAAUAUACUUUCAAUGCAUUUUGUGAAUUACUUGUUUCACAUGGAACUAUUCACCACACGUCUUGUAUUGACCCAAGUUUGAGAUUACAAGCUAUAUUUGUGACAUGUGGAGUUCCAUUAUAGAUUGUCCUACGUGGAUUUUUUGUGUGUGGUGGAAAAUACUAAAUAACAUCAAGGAAAAGAAUGUAGUUUUCACUUUUUCUCCAACGGGAAUGAGAAUGGGGUGGUUUGGGGUUAAGCCUUCCCAUCAAUCAUUUAUCUAUAUCUGUUUUCAUGUUUAUUAAAAAAAAAAAUUAAUUGGAUGGUACAAAUAUAAAAAAUUCUCAUACUCAUCCAUCAUUUUUUACUUUUAAAAUUUUAAAUUAUAUUAAAAAUAAAUAUAAUUUAUAAAUAAAUAGAUAUUAUAAAUUUUUAUAAUGUAUUUAUAUGAAAAGUAAAAUAUUAUAUAUAUAUAUAUAUAUAUAUAUAUAUAUAUAUAUAUUAAAAAGAUUGAAAAUUAAAACAAAUAAAUUAAAAUAAUUUUUAUCUAAUAUCUAGAUAAUAUUAUAUAUAAUCUAGAUGGAAUGGAACAAAAUCAUAUGGGCACCUAAUUUUUAAAAAAAUUCUAAAUUCAUUUAUAUUUAUUCAAAACUUAUCCUAUUAAUGUCAUGUGUUAGAGUCUUGAAAAAAAAAAAUGUUAAUUCUUGAUUAUUUUUAUGGUUCAAGUUAGUUGGAUUUGAAGGUUAACCUCUAAAACUCCUCUAUCAAUUCUAAUGUGUGUCAAAUCUAACAAAUGGUUGAAAUAAAGUGAAGUUUUCAAGUUUAAAAGAAAAUUUCCAAAGAAAGCUCAAGCACUAAGGAAAUACUCCAAAACAUGAAGUUUUGGAUCCCUUGAAGACUCAAGUAUUUAGAAAAAUAUUAUAAGAUGGUUUCCAUUGGUGCACUUAGGAUUAAACUCUUUAUUCAUGCACUUCAAAAAGCCUUUACAUCAUCCCUACCUAAGCUUCAAAAGGUUUUUAUCUUCAAAAUGGAGGAAUUUGUUUCUUAUUUCAAAACCUUAGGCUAAAUUCUUUUAGAAACCUACAAAUGUUUUAAAAUGAAUUGCUCAAGCUAUUGGAAAAUUAGGAGUGAGUUUGGAAGCUUUUUGGGCUAGUUUUUGCCCAAUCGCUCAACUCUGCUCAAAAACUUUUUUUCUCUUCCAGAAGCUUGAUGACACCAAUAAAGCCUUUGGUUUUCCUGAUUGAGGUUUGGUUAAGGGCUGGUCAAACUUUUAAAGAACCAAUAGUCACCUAUUGUGUAUUAAAUGUGUCAAUGACUAGUCAACUGGUCAAACUAGAACUUAGCUGUCAAGAGCAAAUUUUGUUGUUUCAGGUGUCUAAUAUUAUUUUCUAUAAAUUGAAAAGCAUCAUUGCAUUUAAUGAGAAAAUGCCACUUGUAUUUAAUUGUUUGCUACUCAUUUUAUCUCUUUCAAAAGUUCUUCAUUGAAGUGCAUUGAAUCCAAACUUGCAAAUCCUUUAGUGUACAAUUGAAUUCCAUCAUAGUAUAGUUUUGUAUUGUGAGCCAUCUUUAUAUUAGGAUUGUAAGCUGUCGAGUUGUAAAUUGGUUGUAAUUGAGUUGUAAAUAGAAUGGGAAAAUUAUUUUAAAAUCCCUUGAAUUGAAGGAUUAAGUUAGAUAGUUUUUUUAUUUAGGAAUAAGUUAGUUUCUUAUUAUGUCUCUUGUUUCCUAUUUCUUCUCUUAUAAUCUCCUAUAUAAAUUGUGUGUAUAGUCAAUCUAAAAUACAAAACUUAUUAUUUUUCAUCCCAUAUUUCGUGUCAUGGCAUCAGAGUAGUAGGUUUUUAAAAUCUCAACAUCAUUCUAGCCUUCAUCGCCAUUUUUCUAGCCUUCAUAACUGGAUUUUUUUUUUAUUCACGUUUCCUUUCUCUGCUUUGUUUUGCAAUAUUUUUUGAAGGCAAAACAGAGUAUUUCACAUGUUCUUUUACCAGCCUUCAUUGCUGUUGGUUUUUUGUUUCACAAUUUGUUUUAAUUCCCAAGAGAUUAGGUUUUUCGUGGAAGAUGCCGAAGGUUGCAGAGACGACUACUACAACACAAUUGGAGGAGAUUGUUCGAUCUCAACAACCCAGGGAAUUGCAAAACAUUCAGGCUGCAUAUAGGCUAGAUGGAAAAAAUUACUUUAAAUGGUCUCAACUUGUUCGCACUAUGCUGAAAGAGAAAUGAAAGAUCAACCAUCUUAUGGGUACAAGGCCAAAACCAGGAAAUCCCCGUUUUGAAGCAUGGGAUGAAGAAGAUUCUAUGAUUAUGACAUGGCUGUGGAAUUCUAUGAAUCCUAAGAUUAGCGACACAUGUAUGUUCUUGGCUACAACUAAGGAUAUUUGGGACACAAUCCAACAAACGUAUUCAAAAGCUAGAGAUACGACUCAAGUAUAUGAGGUUAAGGUGAAGACAAUUGCUGCAAAAUAGGGAAGUAAAACAGUUACUGAAUAUGCCAAUCAAUUGAAAGCUUUGUGGCAAGAACUUGAUCAUUAUAGGAUGAUAAAAACCAAAUGUCCUGAGAAUGCCACUGUUCUAAAGGAUUUCAUUGAACAAAAUAGAGUUUAUGAUUUUCUUGUUGGGCUUAACCUAGAAUUUGAUCAAGUGAGAAUCCAGAUUCUUGGCAAGCAAGAGGUUUCAUGAUUUAAUGAGGUGGUGGCACUGAUUCGAGGCGAGGAAAGCCGAAUGAGUGUUAUGCUUGAACCACAAACCUUGGAUGGAUCAGCCUUAGUUGCAAAAAAAAAAAAAAAAAAUUUAGAGUAAGGAAAGAAUGAUCUGCCUAAACACUUAGGUUUAGACAAUCAAUGGAAGGAGAACAAGGACAAUCUAUGAUGCACCUAUUGCAAGAAACCAAGGCACACAAAAGAGAAGUGUUGGAAGCUGAACGGUAAGCCACCAAGUUGUGAAUAGGGAAACCGUGGAAGGCAGCAAAUGCCUUAAUCACACAUGGCAGAGCAACCCAAAACUGAGGAAAAUUCAGUAACAGGCGGGUUCAAUAGUGAAGAAAUGGAGAAGCUGAGAAGCUUGUUGGGAUCCUUUAACAAAUCUACUAAAACUUGUUCUUUGGCUCUUUCAGGUACGCCUUCAUUCUCUUUUUGCAUAAAUGCCUCACACAGGGUUUAUGAUGACUCUUGGAUAAUAGACUUCGAUACCACAAACCAUAUGACCUCCAAAUCUCAACUUUUCCAUACCUAUUCCCCAAGCCCAAGUAACAAGAAAAUUGCAGUGGCCAAUAGCUCUUUAGCUACCGUUGCAAGUUUCAGAGACAUAUACAUCACACCUAUCCUUAUUGUUAAAAAUGUCCUCCAUGUACCAAAAUUGUAGGCCAACCUUGUUUUCAUUCAAAAGGUUACUCAUGAUCUUAAAUGUUAUACUAUUUUUUUCCCUUCUUAUUGUGUUUUUCAAGAAUAAAGCUCGAGGAGGAGGAUUGGACUUGCUAAGGAAAGGAGCGGUCUUUACCACCUUGAAUCAUCUCAGAAAACUAGUAAUAAUUUGUCGUUGUCUUUUAUCAGUUCCUCAAAUAAAGAUACCAUUUGGUUGUAUCACUUACGUCUAGGUCAUCCAUUUUUUAGGGUUUUAAAUGUCAUGUUUCCUCAUUUGUUCCAAGGAUUAAAUAUUUCUAAGUUUCAUUGCAAAACUUGUGAAUUGGAAAAACAUUCUCGUGUAUCUUUUCCUAUUAGCAAUAAAAGAAGUUCUCAUCAUUUUCAUUUGAUUCAUAAUGACAUAUGGGGUCCUUCAACUGUACCUAGUGUUUUUAGGGCUCGUUGGUUUGUAUCCUUAAUUGAUGACUGGGGUUACAUGGAUCUUUCUUCUUAAACAAAAAUAUGAUGUUAGCAUUGUUAUACCUAAUUUUCACUCAAUGGUUCAAAACCAAUUUGGGGUCAAAAUAAAAAGCUUUAAGACAGACAAUACUAGAAAUUACUUCAACCAGAUUUUGUCACCCUAUUUUCAAUCAUAGGUCAUUCUCCAUGACUCAUCAUGUGUUAACAUAUCCCAACAAAAUGGGGUAGCCGAGAGGAAAAAUGGGCAUUUACUCAACACAACUCAAGCCUUACUCUUUCAAGGGAAUGUUCCUAAGUCCUAUUGGGGGGAAGUUGUUCUUACUGCCACAUACAUGAUAAAUAGAAUUCUCUCACGAGUGUUAGACAACAAAAGCCCCGUAUAGAUACUUAAGAGUUUCUAUCCACACUUCAUAACCUCAAAUGGGCUUACUCCUAGGGCAUUUGGGUGCACUACAUUUGUUCAUGUCCAUAGCCAACAUAGAGACAAGCUAGACCCUCGAGCCAUAAAAUGUGUCUUCCUUGGUUACUCAUCCACUCAAAAAGGAUACAAGUGUUACAAUCCCUCAGCUAGAAAAUUAUACAUCUCUAUAGAUGUCACCUUCACAAAAAAUAAACAUUUUUUCUCCAAGUCCUCUCUUCAAGGGGAGAUUUCAAUAAUGGAAUAUAGUCCUUGUGAGUCCUUUGAACCUCUUGACCUUCCUCAUGUCUCAACCCAUGGUGAUGAAAAACCUGAGUCACCCAAUUUUCCCACUAAAUCUGUGUCAUCCCCUGUUCCAGCCAAUGUCACUCGCAAUUUUCCACAAUUUCCUAAGAUGUAUUCAAGGGAAAAGGUCAUUCCAGAACAAAAGUAGGUCCAAGAAUCCAACUUAGACCCUAGGAAUGAAAUCACGGUAAGAUCAGAUCCAUCUUUACAUACACAACCUGGUGAAACUUCCACUGACUCAACAGAUAACCUAAACCUAAACCUUCCCAUUGUUGUCAGAAAAUGCACCGGAGAAUGCACUAACUGACCACUCUAUCCACUAUCACACUAUGUGUCUCUUAAGCACCUAUCACCAGCCCAUAAGAAUUUCAUUGUGAGUCUAAACACCACUAUCAUCCCUAACAUUGUUUCUGAGGCAUUGACAAAAAAAUAAUGGAAGGAUGCUAUGAGAGAGGAUAUGAGUGCAUUAGAAAAUAAUAAAACAUGAGAGUGUGUUGAAAGACUAAAAGGGAAAAAAACAUUGUUGAUUGCAAGAUUUUCAUGUUGAAAUAUAAGGCUGAUGGAUAUCUUGAGAGACAUAAAGCAAGAUUGGUAACUAAAAGGUACACUCAAACUUAUGGAGUUGAUUAUUAGGAGACUUUUGCUCCAGUUGUAAAAAUGAAUAUUGUAAGAAUCCUAUUAUCACUGGUUGCCCACUACAAUUGACAACUCCUACAGUAUGAUGUUAAGAAUGCAUUUCUUCAUGUUGAUUUAGAUGAAGAGAUUUACAUGAACAUCCCACCGGGAUUUGAGGAAAACAUAGGUAACAAGGUGUGCAAGCUGGAAAAGGCCCUUUAUGAGCUAAAAUAAUAUCCUAGAGUUUGGUUUGGGAGAUUUGAAAAAGUCAUGAAAGAGUCUGGGUACAAACAAAGCCAAGAUGACCACACUCUCUUCAUUAAGCACUUGGCUGCAGGGGGAAUAACUGCUCUUCUAGUCCAUGUUGACGACAUCAUAGUGACUGGAAAUGAUGAGAGAGAAAAGUAUGAAGUGAAACAAAGAUUAGUAACAGAGUUAAAGAUAAAGGAAUUAGGGAAAUUGAAGUACUUCCUCGGGAUUGAGGUGACAUAUUCCACACAAGGGAUCUUCAUCUCUCAACAAAAGUAUAUGACUGAUUUAUUGACAGAAGUAGAGAAGAUUGGGUGUAAACUAGUCUCUACCCCAAUGGAUCCAAACCACAAUUUAGGAGAAGCUCAAGAAGAACCAGUGAUGGAUAAAAGAAUGUACCAGAGGCUGGUUGGUAGGCUCAUAUACCUUGCUCACACUCAGCCAGACAUCGCCUACUCGGUGAGCGUGAUCAGUUAAUUUAUGCAUGAUCUAAGAUAACCUCAUCUUCAAGCUGCUUAUAGGGUGCUGCAUUACUUGAAAGAUAACCCAAGAAAGGAAUUUUGUUCAAGAAGAACAAUACUCUUGCUUUAGAAGCAUACACCGACGCUGACUAUGUAGAUUCCCUAGUGGAUCGAAGAUCAACUAUAGGGUAUUGUACUUUUCUUGGAGGUAAUCUAGUAACAUUGAGAAGUAAAAAGCAGAAUGUGGUAGCAAGGUCAUCUGCAGAAUUAGAGUUUAAGGCCAUUGCUCAAGGAUUGUGUGAAAUACUUUGGCUAAAGAUUAUUUUAGAUGAUUUGAGAAUCAAGUAGGAUGGUCCUAUGAAGCUCUAUUGUGACAACAAGUCAGCUAUCAAUAUUGCUCAUAACCCUAUACAACACGAUAGGAUAAAACAUAUUGAGAUUGAUAGGCAUUUCAUCAAAGAAAAAUUAGAGGAAGGAGUAGUGUGUAUGUCCUAUGCUCCAUCAGAAUAUCAAUUAGUUGAUAUCUUAACAAAAUGGCUGAACAGUUCAACGUUUCACGAUCUUGUAUUCAAGCUAGGAAUGGAAGACAUAUAUUCCUCAGCUUGAGGAGGAGUGUCGAGCUAUAAAUAGGUUGUAAUUGAACUGUAAAUAGAAUAGAAGAAUUAUUUUUAAAUCCCUUAAAUUGAGGGAUUCAGUUAGAUAGUUUUCUGAUUUAGGAAUAAGUUAGUUUCCUAUUAUGUCUCUUGUUUCCUAUUUCUUCUAUUGUAAUAUCCUACAUAAAUUGUGUGUAUAAUCAAUCUAAAAUACAUAACUAAUUAUUUUUCAUUCCAUAUUUCGUGUCAUAAGCAUUAAAAAUACUUCUACCAAUUUAUUCUUGAGUGAGAUAGACUUUAAGUUGGUGAAGAACUUCAAGGAAGUGUAGUGCCCAUUAGAGCUAUGAAUCUAAGUGAACAUGAUUAAAGAUUUGGUUUUGAAGCCUUAGUUAGUAAAUCCCUCACUUAGAAAAAGAUUAAGGAGAGUGAAUGUAGGCAGGAUUGUUGAACCACAAUAAAUCCAUUUGCAUCUUUCUUCCUUUAAUUCUUUAUUUAUUUGCUUUAAUUGUUGCUUGUUUACUGUUUUAGUUUUUCAAUUUUGAAAAGUUUUUAAUAACCCAAUUCACCCCACCCCCACCCCCUUCCUUUUAGGUGUUUGAAUGAAUUAGUUAGCCUUAUUGUAUAAUAGUUUAACUUAAAAUUUACUUCAUCCAUUUUUUUUUCAAUUGUCAUGAAGCUCAUGUUGGUCAUGAAAAAACUUAUGUCGAAUAGGGUAACACCAAAGGUGGUUAAAUGGGUGACCUUUUAAAGAUUAUAAUAUAAUGAUUAACAAACUUAACCUAAAUAAGUUUUGUGAGAUGAAUUUAUCCUAUUUUAAAUUGACCUAAUCUUGUGAGAUAAUAUGAAAAAUCAAUACAAAUACAAUCACAUAAUGGACAAAGGAUUUUUACGUGGAAAACCCACACACUAAUUGUGGAAAUAAAAAACUAUAAGGUCUAAGACCUCUAAUUCACUAAUCCACUAUAUAAGAACAAGGUAAAUAGAUUUGUUUGGCAGCAUUACCCUAAAGACUUACUCUUCAACACUUAUACCUUAACCCAUAUCUGUGACGCAACACCUCUAAUGCUUCAAUGGAUUUACCUCAGCCUCUGAGAGGAUGUAGGUCCUUAGCAACCCAAAAUUCAAAGUGAUAAAUCCUUGUUGAGAGUUUGGGAAUGUUAAGGCAAGUUGGGUUGAUUAUCUCAAAAUGUCCAACCCUAAAAUGGGUUUAUAUAGGUUCUUAGACCUAAGGAAUUGAUAACUAGAAUUUUUCCUAAAAGAAUAAUUGUGAAAGUCCAUAAAAGAAAUCUACCAAAUUCUAGUAGAUUCAGAAGGGCCACUCAAGCUCAUUUAACCAUUGCUCGAGCGCCUUAAGCACUUGAGUGGUGCCACUGUUUGAGUGUCCUUUGUUUUUCCAGAACAAGAAUGAAUGCAUUUUAGUUUUUAAAAAAAUAAUGAAUCCACUCUAAGCCUCAAGCACCUUACUUGCCACUAAACAAACCUUUUUAAACUUACCUAUAACUUUCUGAUUGAGCAAUCAACAACCUGAAAUCUUCAGUUGAGAGUAAGUCACUAUCUAAAAACUUUCCUAUGUCAAGAUGAAUAGAAACAAAAUCGCCAACAAACAAGGUACAUGACUCAAUAUCCUAACAAGUCACUCCAUCUUCAUAUUCCUCUUUGGUUGAUUCUUCACUAUCAUAUAAAUUUGGGGGAAUGAUCUUGGAUUUUCUUGGAAAGAGAAUCCAUUGUAAUCAAUUGUUGAUUUGUUGAUUUGUUUUCUCUAUUUUAAUCAAUUGUUUCUAAUUUCUUUUAUUCAAUAAUGGUCUUUUAUUCUUCUUUUAUUGUUUAUGUGAAUGAAAUCACGACCAUGAGGAGCUAAAAAACUAUCUUAGGGCAUGAAACAUGAAAACCUAGGGUUAGAGCCAAAGGAAAAUAAUGGGUAAAAUCGAACUAAAAAUUAAAUGAAUUAUGGAUUGAGACAUUAUAGUUGAAAACAGAAAUAUCCUUUAAUGUUUGUUUGAAUUAGAGAAUGAUACAAUAACUCAUUUUUUGAUACUAGGGAGUUUUGGUAAUUCUUGAUCCCUAGUUAUUUGAGGUUUUGCUAUUAUUAUCUACCCUAAGACAAAUCUAUAUAAAGUGGUAAAUGCCCAAAUCCUAUACCUAAACUCAAUUUUCAUACCCAUUUAUCUAUUUGGUAUUUCAAUAAUAGAAUAAAAUAUUAAAAGUUAUGAUACAGAUGCAACCCUGAGUUAUGGAACUCAAGUUGAUCUUGUUUGACUCCACAUUCUGAAUACCCUAAGGUUAACUAAAAUUGAUACCCUUGUUUUGCCUGAGACCCUAUACCCAAAGUUGGAUUGUAGAACCCCUAGUCUUGAAUCAUUUGAAUUAGAAAUUAAUAUUUUUAUUUUUUACAAUUUAAUUAGAUAUAUUUUAAUAGAUUCAAUUUUAUUCAAAUUAAUUUUACACAUUCUUAGUUCAAGAAAUCAAGUAAAAAACAAUCAUUUAGAUAUAGUUUGACAACUUUCAUAGGUCAAUCCUUUAGAACGAUACCCGAAAUACUACAAAAGUCAUAAUGACUCUUUCUCUAGAUUUUCUUGGCUAUGGUUGCUAUAUAAUCUAGGCAUAGUAUUUUGGACAACAGAGAAUCAUGGUCACUAUUACACUUAGACUUUUAAUCCUAAGGAACCUUUAACAAAACUCAAGAAAUGUCUCACUCUUAAAUGAUCCUUCAUUGAUACCUUACCCUUAAGAUAACCCUUCAAGUGAUUCCACACAUUUGAUAAUCCCUAUGUGAUGCCUCACACAUAGAGUUUUCCAUUAAGUGACAUCUCAUAGUUAAGAUCACCCUCAUAAGGUUAAAAGAAUUUGAUUUAUUUUUUUGAAAAAGAUAAGGCACCUAAUUACAACAUUUUGACUCAAGGAUACAAAUGAAACUAGGAUCAAAAUAAUUAAAAUAAAUAAGUUUAAGAACAAAGUGCAAUCAAAAUACUUGCAAAGGGUUAAAGGAUUUUUCAACAAAUGUUUAGAACAUUCUCCCAUUAACCUGUCGGCCGACUAGUUUAGGCUUUGCCUUAACUGGUAGAUAUUGCCAAGAAUAUUAGAGUUCAAAAUCCCUUGACUAAUCAACUUAUAGGGUGAUUUGUUGACCCAAUUUUUAAGAUUUUGUGAAAAACUAUCUCCCAUCUUAGUCAAUGGCUCCCCACAGGGUUUUUUUUUCUUGUAAUUGAGGUGUAAGGCAAGGUUUGGAACCGUCUCUUAUUCUGCCUUGCUGAAGAAGUGCUCAAGGAUUGACUACCCUUUACAACAUAGGAAGUCUUAAGCCUACUUCAAUUCCAAGAAGGUGUUCCCUUACAUAAUAUACUAAUGACACUUUUAUCUUUUGUAGGGAGAAAUUCUACAACUUUGACCAACCUUAAUAAUUUUUUAGAGUUGUAUGGUUAAUAGUUGGGUCAGAUUGUCAAUAAAGAAAAAACUUUAUUUUUGCUCAAAAACAUUAGAAAAAACUAACUAAAUAAACUCCUUAUGAUUUUGAAAACCUUUUAAACAUUCAUUAUAUAAAUCAAAGGUGGUUUUCAAUUAAGAAAACAUUUUAUCCAAUUUUGAAAAGAUUAAGGACAAGUUUGAGUUCAAUUAGAUGAGUUUUGGUGCUUUAAAUAAAUAAUAUGCAAUUCUAAUUUGGUGUACUCAUAAUUUUACAUUAAAAUAACCUAAAAAUGAUCUUGGUAAACCUUCUUGAAGUACCCUUUGAUCUCCUUAAUUUUUUGAUAAGAAUUUUGUAUUGAUUUCCUCUUUUGCUCCAUAUAUCUUUUCUUUCAUUGCUCUAAGGAAAUCUUCUUAGCUGUCACACUCAAAAUUAAGUAUUAGAUCAAAUCUUUGUUUUAAACUUCAGUCUAACAAUAAAGGCUUGUUCGAAAAAUGCAUUUUUUUUUUCAUUUUUCUAGUUUCAAGGUCGUUAUUAAUAAUCUUGUGUUUGAUUGAAUUUAAUUGGAAGAUUGAUCACUUGAUCACAAAUUAUUAAUAUGCCAAACCGUCUAUUGUUUACAAAAAUAAAUCAAAAAUAAAAAUAGGUCAAUAAUAUAUAUUAAAUUAUGCAAAAAUUAAAACUACUCAUUUAUGUUUCAUGAAAGAAAAAAUGUUUUUAAGUAAUUCAAGUUCAUUGUUAGAUAUGUAUACUUUAUUUUUAUUUAUUUCAGGUAUAUCAAUACAAUAAUUUCUUGAUUACAAGCAUUUCAUUAAAAGAAUGCAGUAAUUUUGAUCGUAGUUUAGUUUCUUAUAGUAAAAAAAGAAAAAAUAUUAGAAUUUUUUUUAUAAAAAUUUAAGAUCAUGACACAUGUUCACAACAUACUUUUUUUAUACUCCACACCAACUUAUUCCAAAUAAGUCUUAAUCUCAAUGAUAAUAAUAAUGAUUCAAUCUUAAUCAUUACAUAAAAAUAAUGCUAUUAUUAAUUCAAUCUUAAUUGGUAAAUAAAAUAUAGAAGAUAAAUGUUGCAAUAUUGGUAUUGUUGUGCAUGUUCAUUUCUUAUUGAAAAAGAAUGAGAGAUGGCACCAAAUAUUCAAGUACUACUACCCCAACAACAUAAUUGGCUCCACCAUCCAAAUCAUUUAUUUUAUUUAUUUGUUUUUGGAUAGAAUCAACUUGAAUGUGUUGAUAUAUGUCCUUUUCACUUUGGCUCCUCCUCUUAAUGGUUUUAUAUUUUAUGUCAAUUCAGAAAGCUCUCUCUCUCUCUCUCUCUCUCUCUCUCUCUCUCUCUCUCUCUCGCUCGCUUUAGGAAAGUAUGAGUAAAGUUGGUUGGGAAGAGUUUUUCAAAAGCUAAAAGCUAAAUGAGUAGUAUUCAAUUCAAUUAUUAGUCUAAAAAUUUAAAAUUUAAAUUUUUAUAAGUUCUUUUAUUAGGAUGCUAACAAUAAAUUAAUUUAAGAAUUUCUGAUUACAUAAAUAGACAAAUAAUUUACACGAAAAACCAUUCAUAAAAUCUCUUAAAAACCUUACAAAUGUAUAACCAUAUGAUUGAAUAAAUAUUUAGAUUUAUCUAAACACUCGCAUAUUCUCCCUAAACUUACACUUUCAAAACCUUUAUUAAUCUUCAUGCCCGUGAUAUAGUAUUUUAACGUUUCUUAAUAUACUUCUCAAUGCUUUGAGAGGAUGUAAUCUACCACCAUGAAUUUAACUUAAUGAAUAAAAAUUAAUGUUUUUGGGAAUCUUAGUAAAAUUGAAAUAAGAGAAAAUUAAUAAUAUGGCUUCUCUUGUCCAAAUUUUUGGUGAUAACUGAACAUUUAUAACCACAAUUUUCCCAGAAAGUAAGAGAAAAUUAAUGUGCAUGGGUCGGGAUGCAAACUUGACAGAAAUUGUUUCUAAGAAUCUUUAUUGUGGUAGAAUAUCACUAGGAAAAUUCAGAGUGAAAGUUACCAUGCAACUAGUUUAGCCACAAACUCGUCAAUGCAUUUAUCUGAACUUCCACCUUCAUCAACUGCUUCCCUGGCCAAAUUCUUCCAUUUCAUGGCAUUACUUCUAAUCCCUUUUAAUCUAUCACUUCCCAUCACUUCCCCUAUGCAAUGCUCCAGGACUUCUCUUCUCACAAUCCCCUUGUCGUCCGCUCAAGCUCUUAAUCCUAUCCCCCAAACAUCUUCAACAAACUUGGCGUUGGUGGGUUGAUCAGUAAAUAGAGGGGCAACCACCAUUGGAACUCCCAGGCUGAGUGCCUCCAGAGUGGAGUUCCAACCGCCAUGGGUGAGGAAGCAUCCUAUCGCCCUGUGUGCCAAAACCUCCAAUUGUUGACACCAUGACACCACCAGGCCCUUUUCCUCUGUCUCCUCCUUGAAGUUUUGAGGCAGUUUGGCCUGCUCAGAUUCCCUGACCACCAUCAAGAAGUAAGCAUUGCUCCUCCUCAAACCCCAAGCUACUUCCUCCAUUUGCUGGGGUUCUAGCACCGCGAAGCUCCCAUAUGAGGCGUAAACAACGGAUCCAUUAGGCUUGCCGUCCAGCCAUUCCAUGCAGGCACCAGUGACUGGAUUGAGCAUAUUAAGGCCAUAGUCUUUGUCAUCUCCAAGCCGUUUAUUUAAGUAAGCAGAGGGAAGGGUUGGGCCGAUCGUCCUGAGAGGACAGAUCUUCGCCAUCCAAUAUUCCACCACCUGAGAAUUCAAUGACAAACUUAGAUUAGCAAAAGAGUUUGAUCAAAAACUUAAUUUUACCCAAAAGAUUAAGAAUCCAUUUGAUAAUGAUACUACAAAGAGCUUCUAGUUAACAUUUUUAGCACUUAAAAUUUUUUUAUCAAAAGAAUUACUUUGAAGUGUUAAAAAAUUAGAAACGUUUAUUAAAAUUAUUAUCAAAUAAAUUCUAAGUCACUAGCUAUCUGGUCAACUCAAGUAAGGCUUUUCCUUGUAAAAGGGCGCUUGUUACCCCAUAAACAUUUUAUUUGACCCAAAAGAGAAACUAUUAAGUAUUAAGUACCAAUAAAUGUCUCAAACUAAAAGCGCCGGCUCAAGUAGGACUUUUCCUUAGAAAACGAGUUUCAACAUAGUCAUAUGUCUUUUCCAUUCUCAAAGUUUUAACAUAGUCAUAUCACCCAAAAGAUUAAGCCAUUAGCUAUUGGGUCGAUCAUCUCAAACAAGACUUUUCCUUACCCUGAUAAACCUUUUAUUUGACCCAAAAGAGAAACUAUGAAGUACUGAGUCAAUAAAUUUCUCAACCUAAAAGCUUAAGCUCCAGCAGGGACUUUUCCUUCUAACAACGUCCUCCUUUUUAAUAGGAAAAGCUUAAACUAUUAGAUAAUAAGUACCCAAGAAUGUACAUGUAGCCAACUUAGAUGAAGUACCUUACCUUUCCCCCUAACUUGUAGAAGGUGUUGCAGAACACCCAGUCUACCUUCUCAAUAUUGGAGAACUGAUUCACAAGCAUGUUGAAGAAAUCCGGGUAGGAGCCAUAAAGAUAAACAAGAGAUGGCAGGUCGCAGGCUUGAAGAGGGAACAAUCCAGGAACCACAACUUCAGGCUCUAAAAGAGGAAGCUUGAGCAUACCCUGGUGGACAUGGUAGUAUAUGUUGUUGACCAUACAAGACUGAGUGAAAAACACAGCCCCCACAAGCCCUAACUUCUUGGCAACAUCAAGAGCCCAAGGCAAGAAUGCAUCAUACACAACACAAUCAACUGGACACCCUGAGCUUUUGAGCUUCUCAAUGAGGCUGCCCAGGGUUUCUGAGCCAACCACCUGGAACCGCUCCAAGUAGGUGCCGCCACUCCCCGCUUGGGCGAAGCCGCCGUCAUCAUAGCCAUCGGAGAUGGUCUCGAUGGCGAUUGGACCAGAGUCUCCAAGCAAGGACUUGGAGAUGAAGUGUGUAGCAACCAGUGUGACUUUGGCUCCAUUGUGCACCAAACACUUGGAGAAUUGGAGCAUAGGGUUUAUGUGGCCUUGGCUUGGAAAUGGGAGGACUAUGCAAUGAGCUUUGUGGGUUCUCUUUUCCUUCUCCAUAUUCCUUCAAAUCUCCACUCUUGAGCUCUUUGUCACAAGAUGCUUCAAAUGACCCUCCCCAUGGCUUAUAUAGGAGGUGAGAAGCUUCUAGAGACCCUUGGAGACAUCCAUACUUAGCCACUAGUGGGAAGAGUGUGGAAGGUUCUAGAAAUGCCUAGAGAAGUCCACACAACUCUACACUAUGGUAGAAGGCAUGAGAAGGGUCCAAAGCUUUCUAGAGAAAUCUAGAAGUCUCUUGUAUAUAGGCUUGUACAUAGAAUAGUGUAGGACAUUCUAGAAUAUUCAUGAAUUGUAAGGAACCCUCCAAGGUUCUAGAGAGUUCCAUUGGUGCCUAUAAAUAAGUGAGGGCCUCAUUUGGCCAAGGCACCAAACUAGUGAGCAUCCAAGCACUUGUAAAGGCUUUCUUGAGUUAAUAAGAGCUUCCAUUCUUUAAGGAGUUGCCUACUAAGCUCUUAAGCUUUUGAGUCGCGAGUGUCUUAGUCGAGCAAGCUAAGCGUUGGGGAUCAAGGCUGACUUAGCAAGAUCAAGCGUCUUGACUUGCCUAAGUGCCGCACGAGCUUAGUGAACGACUAAGUCCGUGACAAGUGGUAUCAGAGCGUGGCUACGAAGUGGGCAUAAGGGAAGCAUGUCGGGCUCUAACGUGGAAAAGACUAGCUAACAAACCCGUGGGAGGGAGGUCGAGCCUACUGCACGGGGCAGGGGCAAAGGUAAAAAGGAUACAUCUCGUGAUGUUGUUGCCAACAUGGAGGCAAGGUUAGCCAAGGUGGAGCUAGCCAUGGCAGACACCCGGGAAGGAGUGGACUUGAUUGAGCAAGGCAUGGAGAAGGGCUUAGAGGAUCUAAGGGAGCAGAUCCAAGACCUUCGCCAGGGGGUGCUGGUCUCGCAAGUUCAGCCGGUGUCACACGAGGAGUUCAUGUCCUUCCAAGACAAGGUCAUGAGCAUGUUCGCUAGUGUGGAGUCAAGGAUGGAGGCCUUGACUGCACGAGUGGAGGCCCGAGACCAAGAGAUUCGACAAGAGUUGGCCAUCUAUAAGACCGCUGUAUCAGCACGAGUCAUGGCCACUCAUGAGGCACCAAGGGUGGAGGUGCCCAAGCCACACACGUUCAGUGGCAAGAGAGAUGCCAAGGAGCUAGAUAACUUCUUGUGGCACAUGGAGCAUUACUUUGAGGCAAUUGCAUUGACGGAUGAAGCCACUAAGGUACGCACCGCGACCCUUUACCUCACUGAUAAUGCUACUCUAUGGUGGCGUCGACGAUUUGCCGACAUAGAGAGAGGGACGUGCACCAUAGACACAUGGGAUGCCUUUAAGAGAGAAAUCAAGAGACAAUUCUAUCCCGAAGAUGUGGCUUACCUAGCAAGGAAGAGUUUGAAGCGUCUCAAGCACACGGGCUUGAUCCGUGAGUAUGUCAAAGAAUUCUCUACUCUUAUGCUUGAGAUACCUAACAUGGCUGAGGAGGAGCUACUGUUCAACUUCAUGGACAACUUGCAAAGCUGGGCCGAGCAAGAGUUGAGGAGACGUGGUGUCCAAGACCUAGCCACGGCCAUGGCAGUAGCCGAGUCCUUAGUAGAUUAUAAAAGGGGAGACUCCUCCAAGCCCAAGCCACCAUCCAAGGGUAACCAGGCCAAAGGUGGGGGAGACAAGAGGUCGCAGGGCCACACUCCUAAGGAAGGAUCAAGCAAAGGCCCUAGUGGCAAGGAUGGCAAAGGCAAAGACAAGUGAAAGGAGUUCACGCCCAGGACCAAUUGCUUCUUGUGUGAUGGUCCGCACUGGGCACGAGACUGCCCUAAGAGGAAGGCUUUAAAUGCUAUGAUUGAGGAAAAGGAGCAGGAGGGCGAUGCUAAAGUGGGAUCGUUGCAGCUCCUAAAUGCCCUUAAGGCUAAGCCGAUGCCUAAAAUGCCUCAAAGCAAAGGGCUGAUGUAUGUGGAGGCCCUUGUGAAUGGGAAGGCCACCAAGGCCCUGAUGGACACAGGUGCCACUCACAACUUUGUCUCGGAGGAUGAGGCAAGAAGGCUGGAGCUCCAAGCAUCCAAGGAAAGAGGAUGGCUCAAGGCAGUCAAUUCAGCCGCUAAGCCAUCACAUGGAGUAGCUCGCGGGGUGACUAUGCACAUCGGCUCGUGGGAAGGAAGGGUCAACUUCACAGUGGCACCCAUGGACGACUUCAAGAUGGUGCUAGGAAUGGACUUCCUACAGAAGGUCAAGGCCGUGCCACUACCUUUCCUACGCUCAAUGGCUAUCUUAGAGGAGGAGAAGUCGUGCAUGGUCCCUACGAUCAAUGAAGGUACGCUCAAGACCCCUAUGCUAUCCGCUAUGCAAGUAAAGAAGGGGUUAAAGAGGGAAGAAGUGACCUACCUCGCCACCCUGAAGGAAGAGAAGGAUGAUGGGUCGGGAGAACCCAUGCCUAAGGAAAUUGAGGGGGUCCUUGAUGAAUUCAAGGACGUAAUGCCGCCCGAGUUACCUAAGAGACUUCCUCCUAGGAGAGAGGAAGAUCAUAAGAUUGAAUUGGAGCCAUGAGCCAAGCCCCCUACUAUGGGGCCAUAUAGGAUGGCACCACCCGAGUUGGAGGAGCUAAGGAGACAACUCAAGGAGUUGCUAGAGGCGGGGUUCAUCCAACCAUCCAAGGCUCCCUAUGGCGCGCCGGUUCUAUUUCAGAAUAAGCAUGAUGGGUCCCUACGAAUGUGCAUAGAUUACCGGGCACUCAACAAGGUGACGGUGAAGAACAAGUAUCCCAUCCCGCUCAUUGCUGACUUGUUCGAUCAACUUGGAAGGGCAAGGUACUUCACGAAGCUAGACUUAAGGUCAGGCUACUACCAAGUCAGGAUUGCGGAGGGAGAUGAGCCGAAGACUACAUGUGUGACCAGGUAUGGCUCAUAUGAGUUCUUAGUGAUGCCUUUCGGACUCACCAAUGCCCCAGCAACGUUUUGCACCCUCAUGAACAAGAUCUUCCACCCAUACUUGGACAAGUUCGUGGUGGUGUACUUGGAUGACAUAGUCAUCUAUAGUAACACUCUAAAGGAGCAUGAAGAGUACUUGAGGAAGGUCUUUAAGAUCUUGAGGCAUAACAAGCUAUACGUGAAGAAGGAGAAGUGCUCGUUUGCUAAGAAGGAAGUGAGCUUCCUAGGGCAUCGCAUCAGAGAUGGCAAACUAAUGAUGGAUGAUAGCAAGGUGAAAGCCAUCCAGGAGUGGGAUCCACCAACCAAGGUACCUCAACUCAGAUCUUUCCUUGGUUUAGUUAAUUAUUACCGGCGGUUCAUAAAGAGUUAUUCGGGAAGGGCUGCUCCACUCACUAAUCUUCUUAAGAAGAAUAAGGCAUGGGAAUGGGAUGAAAGGUGCCAACAAGCCUUUGAGGACCUGAAGAAGGCUGUGACUGAAGAGCCAGUGUUGGCACUACCCGACCACACCAAGGUCUUUGAGGUACACACAGAUGCCUCAGACUUCGCUAUUGGGGGAGUCCUUAUGCAAGAAAGGCACCCAAUCGCAUUUGAGAGUCGCAAGCUAAACGACGCGGAGAGGCGUUACACGGUGCAAGAAAAGGAGAUGACCGCUAUCGUCCACUGCUUGCGCACUUGGAGGCACUAUCUGCUAGGGUCUCACUUCAUAGUGAAGACCGACAAUGUGGCCACUAGCUACUUCCAGACACAGAAGAAGUUGAGUCCUAAACAAGCUAGGUGGCAAGACUUCCUGGCCGAGUUCGACUAUACGCUGGAGUAUAAGCCAGGAACCGCUAAUCAUGUGGCCGAUGCCCUAAGCCGUAAAGCGGAAUUAGCAUCCAUGAUGAGUCAACCCCAAGGAGACAUAAUGGAUCUUUUAAGGGAGAGACUGCAACAUGAUCCAGUGGCCAAGAGCCUCAUCGCCCUGGCUCAUGAAGGGAAGACUAAGCGGUUUUGGGUGGAGGACGGCCUACUCUACACUAAGGGGAGACGACUCUACGUGCCUAAGUGGGGAAACAUAAGACGGAAUCUAAUUAAGGAGUGCCACGACACCAAGUGGGCUGGGCACCUAGGGCAACGACGCACGAGGGCAUUACUCGAGUCGGCUUACUAUUGGCCUCAAAUACGGGAUGAGGUUGAGGCCUACGUGAGAACUUGUCUUGUGUGUCAACAAGACAAGGUGGAGCAACGACAACCUAGAGGCCUGUUGGAACCAUUACCAAUAGCGGAGCGCCCAUGGGACAGCGUCACCAUGGACUUCAUCAUCGGGCUGCCCAAGUCAGAGGACAAUGGCUCUAUCAUAGUGGUAGUGGACAGGUUCUCUAAAUAUGCGACCUUCAUAGUAGCCCUUACUGACUGCACUGCGAAGGAGACGGCAAGACUAUUCUUAAAGCACGUAGUCAAGUACUGGGGAUUGCCUAAGUAUAUUAUCAGUGAUCGCGAUCCGCGUUUCACUGGGAAAUUUUGGACGGAGCUCUUCAAGCUUAUGGGUUCGGAGCUUCACUUCUCCACCAGCUUUCACCCACAGACAGAUGGGCAGACUGAGAGGGUGAACGCCUUGCUGGAGCUAUACUUGAGGCACUUUGUGAGUGCCAACCAGAGGGAUUGGGCUAAGUUGCUAGAUAUAGCCCAGUUCUCAUACAACUUGCAAAGGAGUGAGGCGACCAACAAGAGCCCGUUCGAGCUAGCCACAGGGCAGCAACCCUUAACUCCUCACACGCUAACGAUAGGCUACACGGGGAGAAGUCCAGCGGCUUUCAAGUUCGCGAAGGGGUGGCAUGAGCAAGCUGACAUAGCACGCUCGUACUUGGACAAGGCCGCUAAGAAAAUGAAGAAGUGGGCUGACAAAAAGCGACGUCACACGGAGUACAAGAUGGGAGACAUGGUGCUUGUCAAGCUCCUUCCUCAACAAUUCAAAUCCCUAAGGCCAGUGCAUAAGGGCCUUGUGAGGAGGUAUGAAGGACCCUUCCCUAUACUUGGAAAGGUCGGCAAGGUGUCCUACAAAGUGGAGUUAUCGCCAAGGUUAAAGAUUCACCCUGUCUUCCACGUGAGUUACUUGAAACCAUAUCACGAAGACAAGGAUGAUCCAAGCCAAGGGUUUUCUAAGAGGGCACCUACAGCGGUUGUGACCUCCUAUGACAAGGAGGUGGAACAAAUCAUUGCAGACCGAAUCAUCAGAAGGCGUGGUGUGCCUCCUGCUACGGAGUACUUAGUGAAAUGGAAGGGACUACCAGAAAGCGAGGCUAGUUGGGAGCCAGCAAAUGCACUAUGGCAGUUCCAGGAGCAGAUUGAGCGGUUCCGGGCAGAAGACGCGACGAGGACGUCUGCGACUUAGGUGGGGGAGAGUGUCACAAGAUGCUUCAAAUGACCCUCCCCAUGGCUUAUAUAGGAGGUGAGAAGCUUCUAGAGACCCUUGGAGACAUCCACACUUAGCCACUAGUGGGAAGAGUGUGGAAGGUUCUAGAAAUGCCUAGAGAAGUCCACACAACUCUACACUAUGGUAGAAGGCAUGAGAAGGGUCCAAAGCUUUCUAGAGAAAUCUAGAAGUCUCUUGUAUAUAGGCUUGUACAUAGAAUAGUGUAGGACAUUUUAGAAUAUUCAUGAAUUGUAAGGAACCCUCCAAGGUUCUAGAGAGUUCCAUUGGUGCCUAUAAAUAGGUGAGGGCCUCAUUUGGCCAAGGCACCAAACAAGUGAGCAUCUAAGCACUUGUAAAGGCUUUCUUGAGUUAAUAAGAGCUUCUAUUCUUUAAGGAGUUGCCUACUAAGCUCUUAAGCUUUCGAGUCGCGAGUGUCUUAGCCGAGCAAGCUAAGCGUUGGGGAUCAAGGCUGACUUAGCAAGAUCAAGCGUCUUGACUUGCCUAAGUGCAGCACGAGCUUAGUGAACGACUAAGUCCGUGACAUCUUGCUCUUUUCCUAUUUUCACUUAUAAAUGGAAAAUCAUUCCUCCAAACAUAGCUUUUUUUAUUACGUACGUAGAAGAUUAUUCUCCAAUUUUCUUACUACUUUAAUCUAUCUCAGAUCAGAUAAAAGAAUUGAAUCUCAUUUUCUAUGUAGAAGAGUUAAAAAAUGUAAGAUUAAAGAUAAGCAUGCAAUAGAACGGGAUCCACACUGUGAGUUAUUAUUAAUUUAUGUAAUUGUUUGGUAAACCAACUUAAUAACUUAAAAAGUGACUUAAUAACUUAAUUUAAGUCAUUAAAUAAAUUAAAUAUGUUUGAUAAAAUAACUUAAUGAUAUGAUUUAAUAUCAAAAACAAUUUUAAGUAAUAAGUAAAAAUAAUUAACUUAUUCUUAAGUCUACACCUUCAUUUUGUCUUUUUACCUUCAUUUAUCCUAAUUACCUUCAUGAUCUCUUUUGCUAUUCAACAACUUUUAUUAUUACUCAAUCUUCUUUGUAUUAAUUAUAAUUUAUGAAAAUAAAUAUGUCAAUUUAAUGAUUUAGAAUAAAUUUUAAGUUAAUUUUAUCAAGCAACCCUAGUACUUAAAGUAAGAAUUAAGUAAUUAGUUUUAAAUCAAUAAAUUAAGUAUAAUUUAUCUUAAAAUCAACUUAAAUUAUUAAAUAAUAAGUAUUAAGUUUUAACCAUAUAACUUUUCUAUAAAAUAUAAUAUAUAAAUAUUUAGUCUAUUAAUUUUAUUAAUUUUAUAUUUCAAGUAUAUAAUUUACAUUGUCCCUUUUCAAUACACACUACCUCAUGACAACUUGUUUGACAAGAAAGUUUAAAGUAUGUUAUCUUCUUUGUCAAACAAAUAUAGAGAUGGUGAAUGACUUGCCAGAGAGGGUCUUUGUGGUUACUGGUUAUUGAAUGUUUAAUGUUAUAUUCCAAGUUUGGAGUAUAUGGGUAGGCUAUAGGUAUGACAUGUGAUUGUUGUCAUCAAUGAUGUGUGUAGAGAAGUGGACAUGUGAGGGUGAGAUUGCUCAUAGCUUCUAUCCUGCAAGAUGUUUGAGAGGGGUAUUCUUUAUAUUCUUUCCCCCUAAGAUAAGAACAUACAUAUUUUUGAGUUAUUUGCAUUUAUAUACCUUCUUUUUUCUUGUACUUUUUCUUUAUACAAUUUGUACAUGAUUGACCAGCUAGUACUUUUGCUUAAUAUUUUAUCCUUUUGAGUAUAGAUUCCAAAACUAUUGUUAGACCAAGGGCCUGUUUGAUUGCUGUUUUUGAAAACUGUUUUGGAAAAUAGUUUUUGAGAAUAGUUUUUAAGAACAGUUUUUGAUGUUUUUAAAAAAAAAAUAAUGUUUGGGAACUGAAUUUUAAAAAACAGUUUUUGUUCUCAAAAACAAAAAAACAUGUUUGGUUCAGUUAAUAAAAAAAAAAAAUUUAGAACAAAUAAAACAAAAGACACGUUUGAAAGAUGUUUUUUUUUUUUCUUUUUUAAUUAAUAAAAUAUUUUCUUCAAGUAAUUUUAUAUUAUAAAUUUAUAAAUAAUUUUUAGAUAUAUAGUUCACUUAAAUUAAAAAAAUUAUUUAUUUUAUUAAUUUAAAAAUAAAAAUAUUUUUUAUAUUUUUUUAAAAUAAAUCAAACAUAAUAAAAUUAUUUUUAUUAAUAUUUUUUUAUUUAAUCUUUAACUUUAUUAAAAAUUAUAGCAUAUUCUAUUAAUUGAGAUAAAUUGUUCUCGUGAUUUGUAAUUUUUUUUUUAUCNNNNNNNNNNNNNNNNNNNNNNNNNNNNNNNNNNNNNNNNNNNNNNNNNNNNNNNNNNNNNNNNNNNNNNNNNNNNNNNNNNNNNNNNNNNNNNNNNNNNUCUGCCACUCUCAAUCCUCGCAGGUACUAAUCUAAUCAUGUUAUUAUUAUUAUUAUUUUUUUUUGCAACCCCCGUUUGAUUCCCAAGAAAAUCCAUCCCCCAUUCGAUUUCCGGGAAAAUUCAUCCUCGUUUGAUUUCCGAGAAAAUCCAAGCAAAAACCCCAAGGAAAACCAAAAAAAUGGAUUUUCUUUUGCUCCCUGUGUUUUCUUGAUCCGUUUUAGGGGUCUCUUUGCUAUUGUGCCAUUGGAUUUAAAUUUCACGAACCUUGAAUCAAGACUGAGACUGUGCUGGAGAAGAGAUGAGAACGGGAAGAAAAAAAAACACGGAGAACAGAUGGUUUUUUUUUGUUUAAUUUUGUUCUGUAAACAGUAAAAAAACGAGGAAAACAACAUUUUAUUAUUCUCUAAACAGUGCCAUUUUGAGAACACGGGAAACAACAAAAACAAAAACGAUCCUCUCAACCAAACGAGUUUUUUGUGUUUUUUGUUUUCAAGAACAGAAAACAGUUCUUGAAAACACUAAACAAACAGGCCCCAAGGGUAUGAUCUGAGAGUUUUGGGGAGUGAUUAUAUGAGGUUGGGAAUAUUUUCUAAUAUUUAAAAAAAAAAAUUCUUAUAAAUAUUUUUAUAGAUUUUAACAAUUAUUUUAAAAAAAUUUAAACUCACUUGAAAUGAUUCUUGAGAUAUAAUUUAAUGAAUAAUUAUUUUAGUAUGUAAAAUAUUAGGAUGAAUAGGGUUAAAAUUGUUAGUUUUUAUUUAGAUCCAAAUAUUAAGCAAUUUUCCAUAAAUGAUAUUUUAUUUAAGAUGAUUUAGUUCUUAAUUUUUUUUCUUAAAUAAGUGAUUGUUUUCUUCACUUAUCACUUUCUAAGGUAAUUUGUUAGUGCAAAAAAUAAUAAUUCUUUUAUUUUUGUCUAAAUUAAAAAGUCACCUUUUCCCUUGAGAGUUUGUAAAUACCUUGACCUAAAAUCUCUACAACCCCAUCCUAUUAAUACACCACCCCAAAAAUUCAAUUAAUACAAUACCCAGCUAAACCAAUUAAAGACCAAAUCCGAUUAGUACCCUCACACAACUAAACCUAAUAUACCAACACUACCAUCACCUCUUCCAUACCUUUUUUACCUUCUUUCAUCAUUCUUCUUCCCAAGAAAACAUUAGGUUAAAAAAUCUUUGUUCUUAAAGCUUCUUGGACACAAAGAGUAAGAUAUUGAGGUCAGUGCAAAGUUAAUUUCAAAUUUUCCACAUCAUUAAUGUAUUAUAUUUGGAAUCUACAAAUAAUAUUACGUUCUUUCCACAUGAAUAUAUUUAGGCUUAUUAUUUAUGUCAUUUUUGGUAAAUCUUUGCCAUGAAAAUAAUAAGGAACACAUUGAGGAUGAAUUCGGAGAUGAAUGGAGGAUGAAAAUUCGAAAAAAGGCGGGGAAAGAAAAAAAAAAAAAAACAAAAGGGGAGGAGAUCGUAGGCAUUAUUCAAAACCCUGACAACCCGUAGGCGAUAGAGCAUCAACUCCUUGUGGGACCAUUAAUGCUAUUUAGACCUAAAACAAUAAACCUUGACAAUCUAUCCUACAAUAAAGUAUUGGCUAAAAGAUAGUUGUCUUAACUCUUUGGGAUUGCACACCUUGGAGCCAUCCAACUUCUUGGUGUCGAACAUCUUAUAGUUAUCUAUCUCCUUGGAGUUGCACCCCUUGGAGUUGUAAGAAAUAGAGAAGAAUAGUAUGUAGAGAGAAUUUAAGUUUCUUCCGAAUUUUUUUUAGGAUUAUGAAGAGAGUAAAAGAAAAGAAAUGGAGGAAGGUGAGUGUGUACUCAGUUGUAAGGGCACUUUAGUCUUUGUAUUAGGGGUAUUUUGGUCCUUAAAAAAAGCAUAGUUGAGAUGGUGGGUAUAAAGAGAUUAGGUUGGGGCAUAAAUAAAUUCUCUAUUUUUUUUUUCAUAUUUUUCUCCUCUCAAUUAGUACUUUUCUCUUCUUGAUGCACAUUUCCAAUACCCAAUCGAGAUCAUUUUCUCUUAAGUAUCUACAAUAUUCAAAUACAAACCCUUCCACUUUGUGUUUCUUACGCUACUAUUUUCCACUAUUCACAUUCCUUUUAUAUCGUUAGUUAUCAGUCCAUUGUCAUUGCUCUCAUUAACUAAUAACAAUAUUGUUGUCAACUACCAUUCUAAAUCACAUUAAAAGAGAAAAUCUAUAUUAUUAAUGCUUAAAUAUAUAAACAUAUUAAAUGCUUAAAACAUUUACAAAACAAACAUAUCAUUUACAUACGACGUAUCAAUCAUUACAAUUGAUAUAUUCAAAUUUGAGAUUAAAAAAACAAAAAUAACAAUCAAGUGUCAUUCAAGGAUGCUUGAGCUGAAUUUUACUUUCUAAAUCCAAUUUCAAGUCCGAUCAUCAUAUUACUUCAUUAUAUGCCAAUUAGGUAAUGUAUUUAUUCUCCACUUAACUCAACUAUAUUUAUUUAAAAUAUCCCAAGAUAAAUUUUCUACAAUAUUGAGCCUUCACAAGAAAAUGUGCAGUCUUAAUACAGGAUAAAUGGAACAAAACUAAUAAAAAAUUUGACGCAUGAAUAUCAUAAUUUUUAACUAGAUUUAUUUGCAUAUUAAAAAAUAAUGAAGACCCUUCUUUUUUCUCAAACAUAUAAUUUAAAAAAAUAUAUAUUUUUAAUAUCAAAUCAUUUUUAUCAUACAAACGAGUCCUCCUAUUUCAAUUUUGGAAUAUCAAUACAAUACCAUUAAACUUUACAAAAUUACCAAGAAAUCACUGAUGCAGCAGAGAGCCCUUCUCAAUCUUUGAGAUCACAUAUUUUUGGAGGUUAUUUAUAUAGAAAAUUAAUUUUUAAAUUUUAGGUUCCACUUUCUUAGAAAAUUUUCCUCCUAACCGCUUUGGAGAACUUCAAAUUUUCCCAGAAUCUAAAUAAACCCCAGAAAUUGGUCUUUAAUAAUAUGGCCUCUCUUGUCCAAAUUUUUGGCUACUGAUGAUAACUGACCAUUUAUAGCCAUAAUUUUCCCAGAAAGUAAGAGAAAACUAAUGUCCAUGGGCAAGGAUGCAAAGUUGACUGAUGCAUUUCAUAGAUCAAAGGAUACAUAUUGAAAAACCAUUUUUCCAAGACAAGCGAAGCUGUUUCUAAGGAUCUUUAUUGUGGUAGAAAAUCACUAGGAAAAUUCAGUGUGAAAUUUACCAAACAGCUAGUUUGGCGACAAACUCAUCAAUGCAUUUAUCUGAACUUCCACCUUCAUCAACUGCUUCCCUGGCCAAAUUCUUCCAUUUCAUGGCAUUGUUUUUAAUCUCUUUUAAUCCAUCACUUCCCAUCACUUUCCCUAUGCAAUCCUCCAGGACUUCUCUUCUCACAAUCCCCUUGUGGUCCGCUCGAGCCCUUAAUCCUAUCCCCCAAACAUCUUCAACAAACUUGGCGUUGGUGGGUUGAUCAGUCCAUAGAGGGGCAACCACCAUUGGAACUCCCAGGCUGAGCGCCUCCAGAGUGGAGUUCCAACCGCCAUGGGUGAGGAAGCAUCCUAUGGCCCUGUGUGCUAAAACCUCCAGCUGGGGACACCAUGACACCACCAGGCCCUUUUCCGCUGUCUCCUCCUUGAAGUUUUGAGGCAGUUUGGCCUGCUCAGAUUCCCUGACCACCACCAAGAAGUAGGCAUUGCUCCUCCUCAAACCCCAAGCUACUUCCUCCAUUUGCUCCGGUUCUAGCACCGCGAAGCUCCCGUACGAGGCGUAAACAACAGAUCCAUUAGGCUUGCUGUCCAGCCAUUCCAUGCAGGCACCGGUGACUGGCUUGAGCAUGUUAAGGCCAUAGUCUUUGUCAUCUCCAAGCCGUUUAUCUAAGUAAACCGAGGGAAGGGUUGGGCCGAUUGUCCUGAGCGGACAGAUCUUCGCCAUCCAAUCCACCACCUGGGAAUUCAAUGACAACCUUAGAUUAACGAAAGAGUAUCAAAUACUUAAUUUGACCCAAAAGAUUAAGAAUUGAUUUUAGGAAGAAUUUGUAACUUUUUUACCACUUAAAUUUUUUUAUUAAAAGAUUACUUUUUAAGUGUUGAAAAAAUUGAAACGUUUCUUAGAAUUAAUGUAAAACAAGCUCUAAGUCAUUAACUAUCAGCUCAAUUCAAACAGAAUUUUUCCUUGGAAAAGGGUGCUUUGUUACCCUGAUAAACAUUUUAUUUGACCCAAAAAAGAACCUAUUAUGUGAUGAGUCAAUAAAUGUCUCAACCUAAAAGCUCCUAGUUCUAACAUAGUCCUAUGUCUUUUUUAACCUAAGUUGUUAUAUGAUAAGUACUCAACAAUGUACAUGGAGCCAAAUUAGCGUGAAGUACCUUACCUUUUCCUCUAACUUGUAGAAGGUGUUGCAGAACACCCAGUCUACCUUCUCAAUAUUGGAGAACUGAUUGACAACCAUGUCGAAGAAAGCUGGGUAGGACCCGUAAAGAUAAACAAAAGAUGGCAGGUCGCAGGCUUGAAGAGGGAACAGUCCAGGAACCACAACUUCAGGCUCUGAAAGAGGAAGCUUGAGCAUACCCUGGUGGACAUGGUAGUAUAUGUCGUUGACUGUACAAGACUGAGUGAAAAACACAGCCCCCACAAGCCCUAACUGCUUGGCAACAUCAAGAGCCCAAGGCAAGAAUGCAUCAUACACAACACAAUCAACUGGACACCCUGAGCUUUUGAGCUUCUCAAUGAGGCUGCCCAGGGUUUCUGAGCCAACCACCCGAAACCGCUCCAAGUAG
rnacentral:lncRNA from 1 species